rnacentral:rRNA from 1 species
CCUACGGGAGACAGCAGUGAGGAAUAUUGGUCAAUGGACGAGAGUCUGAACCAGCCAAGUAGCGUGAAGGAUGACUGCCCUAUGGUUUGUAAACUUCUUUUAUAUGGGAAUAAAAUGUUCCACGUGUGGGAUUUUGUAUGUACCAUAUGAAUAAGGAUCGGCUAAAUCCGUGCCAGCAGCCGCGGUAAUACGGAGGAUCCGCGCGUUCUCCGGAUUUAUUGGGUUUAAAGGGAGCGUAGGUGGAUUGUUAAGUCAGUUGUGAAAGUUUGCGGCUCAACCGUAAAAUUGCAGUUGAAACUGGCAGUCUGGAGUACAGUAGAGGUGGGCGGAAUUCGUGGUGUAGCGGUGAAAUGCUUAGAUAUCACGAAGAACUCCGAUUGCGAAGGCAGUUCACUGGACUGCAACUGACACUGAGGCUCGAAAGUGUGGGUAUCAAACAGGAUUAGAUACCCUUGUAGUC